GACGAACGCUGGCGGCGUGCUUAACACAUGCAAGUCGAACGGAAAGGCCCUGCUUUUGUGGGGUGCUCGAGUGGCGAACGGGUGAGUAACACGUGAGUAACCUGCCCUUGACUUUGGGAUAACUUCAGGAAACUGGGGCUAAUACCGGAUAGGAGCUCCUGCUGCAUGGUGGGGGUUGGAAAGUUUCGGCGGUUGGGGAUGGACUCGCGGCUUAUCAGCUUGUUGGUGGGGUAGUGGCUUACCAAGGCUUUGACGGGUAGCCGGCCUGAGAGGGUGACCGGCCACAUUGGGACUGAGAUACGGCCCAGACUCCUACGGGAGGCAGCAGUGGGGAAUAUUGCACAAUGGGCGGAAGCCUGAUGCAGCAACGCCGCGUGCGGGGUGACGGCCUUCGGGUUGUAAACCGCUUUCGCCUGUGACGAAGCGUGAGUGACGGUAAUGGGUAAAGAAGCACCGGCUAACUACGUGCCAGCAGCCGCGGUGAUACGUAGGGUGCGAGCGUUGUCCGGAUUUAUUGGGCGUAAAGGGCUCGUAGGUGGUUGAUCGCGUCGGAAGUGUAAUCUUGGGGCUUAACCCUGAGCGUGCUUUCGAUACGGGUUGACUUGAGGAAGGUAGGGGAGAAUGGAAUUCCUGGUGGAGCGGUGGAAUGCGCAGAUAUCAGGAGGAACACCAGUGGCGAAGGCGGUUCUCUGGGCCUUUCCUGACGCUGAGGAGCGAAAGCGUGGGGAGCGAACAGGCUUAGAUACCCUGGUAGUCCACGCUGUAAACGGUGGGUACUAGGUGUGGGGUCCAUUCCACGGGUUCCGUGCCGUAGCUAACGCUUUAAGUACCCCGCCUGGGGAGUACGGCCGCAAGGCUAAAACUCAAAGGAAUUGACGGGGCCCCGCACAAGCGGCGGAGCAUGCGGAUUAAUUCGAUGCAACGCGUAGAACCUUACCUGGGUUUGACAUGGAUCGGGAGUGCUCAGAGAUGGGUGUGCCUCUUUUGGGGUCGGUUCACAGGUGGUGCAUGCCUGUCGUCAGCUCGUGUCGUGAGAUGUUGGGUUAAGUCCCGCAACGAGCGCAACCCUUGUUCACUGUUGCCAGCACGUUAUGGUGGGGACUCAGUGGAGACCGCCGGGGUCAACUCGGAGGAAGGUGGGGAUGACGUCAAGUCAUCAUGCCCCUUAUGUCCAGGGCUUCACGCAUGCUACAAUGGCUGGUACAGAGAGUGGCGAGCCUGUGAGGGUGAGCGAAUCUCGGAAAGCCGGUCUCAGUUCGGAUUGGGGUCUGCAACUCGACCUCAUGAAGUCGGAGUCGCUAGUAAUCGCAGAUCAGCAACGCUGCGGUGAAUACGUUCCCGGG
rnacentral:rRNA from 1 species